CCCUUAGAUGUCCGGGGCCGCACGCGCGCUACACUGAAGGAAUCAGCGUGGCUUUCUCCCUGACCCGAAAGGGUUGGGAAACCCGUUGAAUCUCCUUCGUGAUAGGGAUUGGGGCUUGAAAUUGUUCCCCAUGAACGAGGAAUUCCCAGUAAGCGCGAGUCAUAAGCUCGCGUUGAUUACGUCCCUGCCCUUUGUACACACCGCCCGUCGCUACUGCCAACUGAGAUGGGUCCUGAAUUGUUAGGAACGCCCGUCAAGGGGCCUACCCGGUCCCUAGUGCGGUGACGAGAAUAACUGUAAAUGGCAUAGCUUGUAGGGAGUAAAAGUCGUAACA
rnacentral:rRNA from 1 species